UGAAACGUGAUAGUUAAUGUGAAUCGCAACUCACCGUGAAUCAUCAAAAUUUUGAACGCAUAUUGCACCCUUCAAUUAUUUGAAGGGUAUUUAUUACUGAGAGUUCUGAAUAAGAUGGGUUGGACAAAGAAAUUUGUCUUUCCUCAAUCAAUAAUUUAACAUUUUGUUAGAUUUUGAGUCUCGAAUAGUCGGACUUGAUUCGACAAGAGACCCUUCUCAAUAAAAUAUCGAACCUCAGUGAUAAAGGAAGACCUGCUGAAUUUAA
rnacentral:misc_RNA from 1 species